AAAAAGAAUGAAAAAAAAUAUUAGAGAAAACGUUACAUAAAGUCAAAUUGUCUUUUUUUAUUUCAAAGUCGUGAGAGAUUCUAGUAUAAAUACGGAAAAUACGAAUAGUAAGCUCAUUGUAUCAUCAACAGUUUACGAAAUAACAAAUCCAAUCGUUGAUAUUGACUUGGAGCAAAAUGAAGAUUAUUUCUUCCUUGAUACUUAUAACAUUUGGAGUAUUAUUGAUUGCUAUGUCUGGAAAUUCCUACUCCAUGAGAGUCAACAAACAUUUAGCAAGUCCUGGAAAAUAAAACAGAAUGUUUUUUUCGAAAAUGUUCACAAUUUUUGUUUGUUUGUUACAAAAAUCAAUUAUGUGAAAUAAAUAAUUUAAAAAACUAA